rnacentral:rRNA from 1 species
UGAGUAACACAUAUCCAACCUGCCGUCUACUCUUGGCCAGCCUUCUGAAAGGAAGAUUAAUCCAGGAUGGCAUCAUGAGUUCACAUGUCCGCAUGAUUAAAGGUAUUUUCCGGUAGACGAUGGGGAUGCGUUCCAUUAGAUAGUAGGCGGGGUAACGGCCCACCUAGUCAACGAUGGAUAGGGGUUCUGAGAGGAAGGUCCCCCACAUUGGAACUGAGACACGGUCCAA